rnacentral:misc_RNA from 1 species
UUGAUCACUGCUAAUUUCUUA